CUGGCCCGGUGGCGUUUGCAAUUUAUUGUGACGUUCAUUGUGUGCUAGAUUCUUUGACCUUCCAUCCUUUCCAGGGAGCCUUGUGUGCUGUUCAUUCAGUGCGCAUGUUUUGCGAUCUGGAUCAUUUACUUUGAAAAAAUUAGAGUGUUUAAAGCAGGCUUACGCCGUGAAUACAUUAGCAUGGAAUAAUAAUAUAGGACUUUGGUUCUAUUUUGUUGGUUUCUAGGACUAAAGUAAUGAUUGAAAGGGAUAGUUGGGGGUGCUAGUAUUCAGUGGCCAGAGGUGAAAUUCUUGGAUUCACUGAAGACUAACUACUGCGAAAGCAUU
rnacentral:rRNA from 1 species